AACGGGAGUGAGGGAGCUUAGCCGCGGGAAGAGGAGGCGCGGGUUUGACUCGUCCCCGCAGAUCCGCCGUUCCGACCCGUCACCGUCGCGAGGAGGAGAAGUCCCUGUCGCCGUUCCGUGUGGCCGCGCCGUCAUCGUUGUUCUCGGAGAUCCACGAUCAGAGGAUGCCCGCGCGGGGGUGGAGGACGUUGCUGUUGUCGCCGCUGUUAAAGCUACCGCCAGCUGCGUCACCACCACGCCUUGCCUCGCCGCUGUUGACCUCUCAAGAGUCCACUGCCGCCGGAGCUCAUGCCAUCGCCGAUUGAGCACCACAAAGAACAGCGCCGCGUGAAUCAGGGAAAGGAGAUGCCUUUCUGCCUCUGCUCCUGGGUUUUGGAUUCUGACCAGGCGCCACUACCGCUGUGGAGUUAGUGUUGCUCUGGUCUUGCCCUGGCUCCAUUUGGAACCGCUGCUGUUGGUAAGUUGCAUUGUCACUGCCUUUACUGGAGAUGGUUGCUGGCUCUGUUUGGAGAUGUAUGUUACAACUAGUAUUCGUUUUGGGGACUGCUUCAUCUGUUGCUGGAACUACUAAUGGAACCAUCGCUGAGGCUUGUGUUCUUUGGUUCGGUCAGUAUUCUUUAGCUACCGAUUAAGCUAUCAGACCACAUGUUGCGCGUAAGGGUUGUAAUUGCUGCCGCGAAUGUGAACAAAGCUGUGAUGCGAGCUGCCGGUAACUUCAGGUUGAUAGAGACUUACGGUGGCGCGUUUGAGUUAUGGAAUUGCGUUUUGAGGAUAUGGGCGCAGAAGUUACGAAGAGCUUAUUUAAU